GGAGCACAUGGUUUUCCCAAUGUGCAGUUCGCGAGCAAGACGGUACGACUCCACCGACAUCGGAACUUUUUGUUGCUGCCCCAACCUUAGGGAGAAGAUCCCUCUAACGGAAGAUGCAAUUGGGAUGAGCCCGAAUUAAAUAACUCACACACCCAUACACAACAAGGGGCCGCGGAGAGAUGCACAGCGUACAAUCAAUUCACUAUCGGGGCAACCAACACAGACACGUCACGGCCAAAGUGCCGGGCCUGGGGAAAAAACGGGAUCUACCCGAACGAACGGCGACAUCAACUGCACCACCGGGUAGACCCGACGUCAUCCGCGAUUGCGAAGAGGAGCAGGUUUUCGCGAACACACACAUACUGAACGGACGAACGGCGUAGGUCGGUCGGUCGUUGGAGCCGCGUACGAAACAGUCCACCGUGUCUGCGAAAAACGGCCGGAUGCUCCAAACCGGUAGUCUGGAAGUAGUUUAGUAGUCGCUUUCGCUGCAACCCGCAUGGGUAGAACGGACGGUCGCAAACAGUCGGCGAACGAGUCAGUCGCGUUGAUCUUGUGAAUAAAUGUCCAAGUGAAGCUAGCUAACUUGAAAUGAAAUCAAAUUGUUGAUGUUUUACAAAACUAGAACUCAAGUUUGUGCAAAUCUUGCAAUUGGCAAUGAAGGAGUGAAGAUAGUUCGUCAACUGCACUAAAACUGCAUCGUGAAUGCACAGCUGAUACCUUGAAGGUCAUGGUUUGAAGGAACCCAGUGCAAAUGACAUCAGAAUUUCAAGACAUACAUACAAGUGAAGUUUGUGAAGUGAGUGAGUGUUCUACAUCGAAAGUUUGUGUCCAAUUGGCUCUAUGUAAUAGUGUUGAUGUGUAUUAAUUUAAGUGUUUUAGUAUUAUCAAACCGUAGCAUUGAAGCUCAAGUGAAAGUGGAUCUCCGCGUGAAAGCAGAUAAUUGACAGAUCUUGGCUGGCGGUUGUCGAAGUGAGAGAGGCAUCUUUAAGUCCGUCAACAAGCGCGCGGUACAAAAUCGGCCUCAACAGCCAUAACAGGU